rnacentral:rRNA from 1 species
GUGUCAGCAGCCGCGGUAAUACGUAGGUGGCGAGCGUUGUCCGGAAUUACUGGGCGUAAAGGGCGCGUAGGCGGGGGAGCAAGUCAGAUGUGAAAUUCCGAGGCUUAACCUCGGCGCUGCAUCUGAAACUGUUUCUCUUGAGUGCUGGAGAGGAAAGCGGAAUUCCCAGUGUAGCGGUGAAAUGCGUAGAGAUUGGGAGGAACACCAGUGGCGAAGGCGGCUUUCUGGACAGUAACUGACGCUGAGGCGCGAAAGCGUGGGGAGCAAACAGGAUUAGAUACCCUGGUAGUCCACGCCGUAAACGAUGGAUACUAGGUGUAGGAGGUAUCGACCCCUUCUGUGCCGUAGUUAACACAAUAAGUAUCCCGCCUGGGGAGUACGGCCGCAAGGCUGAAACUCAAAGAAAUUGGCGG